UCUGGUGUUCCGGUUGUCACGCCAGUGGCAUUGCCGGGUAGCUAUGUUCGGAAAAGAUAACCGCUGAAAGCAUCUAAGCGGGAAACUUUGGUGUUCCGGUUGUCACGCCAGUGGCAUUGCCGGGUAGCUAUGUUCGGAAAAGAUAACCGCUGAAAGCAUCUAAGCGGGAAACUUGCCUCAAGAUGAGAUCUCACUGGGAACUUGAUUCCCCUGAAGGGCCGUCGAAGACUACGACGUUGAUAGGCUGGGUGUGUAAGCGUUGUGAGGCGUUGAGCUAACCAGUACUAAUUGCCCGUGAGGCUUGACCAUAUAACACCCAAACA
rnacentral:rRNA from 1 species